rnacentral:rRNA from 1 species
UCCACGCCGUAAACGAUGGGUGCUAGGUGUUGGGGGUAUCGACCCCUCCAGUGCCGCAGUUAACGCAAUAAGCACCCCGCCUGGGGAGUACGGCCGCAAGGCUGAAACUCAAAGGAAUUGACGGGGGCCCGCACAAGCGGUGGAGCAUGUGGUUUAAUUCGACGCAACGCGAAGAACCUUACCAGGUCUUGACAUCGCCUGACAGCUGUGGAAACGCAGUCUUCAUCUUCGGAUGACAGGUAGACAGGUGGUGCAUGGUUGUCGUCAGCUCGUGUCGUGAGAUGUUGGGUUAAGUCCCGCAACGAGCGCAACCCCUAUCUUU